ACUGCCUUGGCCUUGCUGAAAUGGGUUUUGAAGGCAUAGAAGAGCUGUAAGAAGUUAAACUGGAUACAAGGAGAGGCUGCUUUUCGGUAGCAAAUGUGUAGCAACAUGGACAGCAGAUGACCUUGAAGAAAGAGAUGAAGAACAGAAGCUGGGUACAGAGAGUUGCUCAGUGACUGAGAGAUCCUGGGCAUUUCCUGAGUGCAGAGCGAAGAUGUGAUGCUGCCCUGCUGAGAGAGAAUGUCACCAGAGGUGAUCCUAAAGAUUCAUAAGUGUUCCCUGCACACAUCUCCUCAACGAAUGUGCUCUGGUCACGAAGAACACUCUACGU